rnacentral:rRNA from 1 species
UACGGGGGGGGCAAGCGUUGUUCGGAAUUACUGGGCGUAAAGGGCUCGUAGGCGGCCAACUAAGUCAGACGUGAAAUCCCUCGGCUUAACCGGGGAACUGCGUCUGAUACUGGAUGGCUUGAGUGUGGGAGAGGGAUGCGGAAUUCCAGGUGUAGCGGUGAAAUGCGUAGAUAUCAGGAGGAACACCGGUGGCGAAGGCGGGUCUCUGGGCCGAUACUGACGCUGAGGAGCGAAAGCGUGGGGAGCGAACAGG